rnacentral:rRNA from 1 species
UACGUAGGGUGCAAGCGUUGUCCGGAAUUAUUGGGCGUAAAGAGCUCGUAGGCGGUCUGUCGCGUCGGCUGUGAAAACUCGGGGCUCAACCCCGAGCCUGCAGUCGAUACGGGCAGACUAGAGUGCUGUAGGGGAGACUGGAAUUCCUGGUGUAGCGGUGAAAUGCGCAGAUAUCAGGAGGAACACCGGUGGCGAAGGCGGGUCUCUGGGCAGUAACUGACGCUGAGGAGCGAAAGCGUGGGGAGCGAACCGG